rnacentral:ncRNA from 2 species
AUGAUAGUAAAGGGAGAGACUAUGUGAUUCAUAAGCAUAGCGCCGAAGGAGCAAACAUAUGUGAAUCUCUCAGGCAAAAAAGACUUUUACUGGACG